CUUUCAUAGGAUAACAUUUAAUUCCAAAUUUAUUUUUAAGAUGACAUUAAAUGAAGGAGGAAGAACAGAAUGGACACAGGUAUGUAAACACACAGAAUAAAAUUGCUCUGUUUUGAAAGUUACAUAAGACGGCACAGUAUUUAAUAAACACAGUGGAUUUUGCAAAUAACCAUCUUUUAACGAUAUGUACAUAUGUAUUUUUACAUGUAAAUUUUCUUAUUUCCCCCAGAAAAUUACAGUAAAAAAUAAAAUCAUUAACAGUAAAUCACCAGAGUUCUUUUUCUUCAUUAUUUUAAGUUUAAUCUACAAAGGUUAUUUCAUCAUGUUAUGGACAAAAAAAGCUGUGAGAAAAAUCCCACUAGAUUUGACAAUUUUUAUUUCUUUUCAUUUUUGAGUACUAUAAAAUAUAUCUUAAUCUUUAAGCUAGAGAAAAUAAUAGAACUGUUCCACAUUUUAAAUUUAAAGAUCACAGACAGAGAUGAGAAAUACCUGAGGUUAACAUAAAAGAAUUCAAAUCACUGUAAACAGCAUAUCCACAAGUGUCAGAGCUAGGAAUGGGAAGUUUAAAUUGUCCACUCUUAUCUUUGUCCUACAUAAAAAACAAUGUGAUUGUAACUCUGUGAGAGUGCAAAACAUCAGUACUGUGCUUCAACCAUGUAAACAUACAUGGGACCAAGAACUUGUAACAAAAGUGUUUCACAUUUCUCUUUCACAGAAAAUGAACAGUCAAUACAUACGUCACGAAGUGAGGGGAUGUGAAACCAGUGACCUGAGAAACUUCUGGGAAAAGACUAUUGAACAACAAACUCGGUAUCUGCAAAUUGAAAAAGAACGUCAGCAAAGAAGCGCUCUGACAAAGCAGCUUUCUGUAGUAUCUAGAUACUACCAGAAAAUAAAACAAACUUCCAGCUAUCACCACUUUCAACAUGUGCGGUAUUUCUAAGCCAAAUAGUUCAGAGGUCUCUAUACAGCUUUUUGCUAACGUGUUUCCGAGGAGGGGAACUGGGGAAACGUUGGGUGAUGCUACCCACCAGGUGGCAGCAGGCAAUCUCCAGUGGAGAUGACAAGUCACUUCGGCACAGAGGCACUUGAGAGGGGAUGCCACGGGAGAUGAAGAUGAACCACAACGAUCAGAUGAUCAGAUUUAAGAACUAGUCCUGAACUUCCAUCCAGCAAAAUUCUCUACGUGUGCAGAACAGUUUUGACGGCAAACAGUGAAAAGAUCUGUAUGACAGCAUCAGUGGGAGAGAUGAUGAGUACAAAUCUGUUCCCUGAAGAAAAAAAAAUAAAAAAUAAUAAUUAAAAAAAUGGACA
rnacentral:lncRNA from 1 species